AUGCAUAAAAUAAUAGCAUUUUUUUUCCAAUCUCAGCUUUAUUAAAUAUAGUAUAUGUUCCGCACCUACCAUAUGUGGACGAGUCGCAAAUCCAUUACAAAGAAGAGAACCUGCUGGGUGAAGGUGCAUUUGGAAGAGUGUAUAGAGGCUACUUUCAGGGCACCCCUGCUGCCAUUAAAAAGAUUCUCUAUGGCACCGCAGGACUUCCAGACCAAGACAUCCAGCACGAGAUUCUGGUCUCACUCCGACUGAGCCAUCCCAAUAUUGUUCGACUCAUGGCUGCAGCCCGCACUGACAACGCCUUCCUGCUGGCCAAUGAGUAUAUACACGGCACAACCCUGGAGGAUGCACUACACAAUGACCAUUCUUGUGUUAAGCUUGAAGGAGAUGACAGUUAUUUUGUUGCCCUCGACAUCUCGAUGGCCAUUGAGUACAUCCAUUCAAAAAAUGUCAUCCAUCAAGAUUUAAAGCCAGCCAAUGUUUUGGUAAGACUUUUUUCUAGUUAAUCAGUAAGUAUGUGUAAAAACAUAUACAUUUAAUGAUUUAAAACCUAUUUUGAUACUUUAAACAGAUCGACCAUUUCUAAAAAAAGGCUGUACUGACAGACUGGGGCCUUGCCAACAUCAGAGACACGGUUGUACUACAACAAGGAAGCAGACUUACUGGAGGAGGAAUAGGGCCAAUGGGUGGAACCUUUCUUUAUAUGGCCCCAGAGUGUCUAGCUGAAUUUGAACAGGCUUCCAGUAGUUCUGACAUCUGGUCUCUGGGAGCAACAUACCUGUAGAUUUUCACAAAAUCAGUGACAUGGACAGUGAAAAACCAAAGAGAGUUGUGCAGUCUAAUGGCCAAAAAGGUGCCACCACAAGCUUUACAACAUCUGAGAGACAAGUACCAGUUUAUUGGUACAAUGUUACACUAUGAUGCAGCAUCAAGACCUGAAGCUUCCUCUGUGGUGCUCUACCUAAAAACAGUGGAGGGGCCAGAUUUAAAGAGCCGUCAUGGUUAUGAAUGGUAAAUGUUACGGAUUAUCACAUGGACAGUGUAACAUUUCUUGUCAUUUUCAGUUUGUAGUACAAAUACCAAUGUUGGUAAAAUGUUAACAUUAUAAUCACAGCCCUUCUCUCUGUCUAACACUGCUGGUAUGUUUUAUUAUUUGUUUCAAUGUAUGUUCACAUCAUUAAACAUGUUUUGCAUCUUCAUUUGUAGCACUUUUUUAAUAAUUUGGUCCCUUUAUAUGGAUUUAUUUAGUUGGAUAAGCAGUUAAAAAGUCCCUGUCUCAUUGGCCAGCAGCUGGUAUAUUUCAUUUGCCUCUGCAAAUGUGGAUGGAAUGGGAAUGCCUCUUGUUUGAAGGACUGUGGUGAAUUUAUCCACCAACAUGAGGUAAGCCGCCAAAGACCCAUCUGGUGAUGAUGGAAAGUUUGUAUUUUGC
rnacentral:lncRNA from 1 species